UUAAGUUGAUCAUGCAUUCUUUUAAUGCAGAGUUGUAAUUUCAUUACAAAACUCAAAUUAUAUGUCAUCUUUAUUUCAGAGACCUCAUCAUUGUGACAUCAUUCCACAUUUGUUUCCAGUUUGGGGCAAUCACUCAAUUACAAUCUGUGAGUCUUGGGAAUGUGGCAAUGUAAAGUGUGUGGCACAGAAGUAUCCAGCAGGAGGAAGACGAAUGGUGACCCUGAAGAGGCACAUCCUCAUUUAAGGAGGAAGACGAAUGGUGACCCUGAAGAGGCACAUCCUCAUUUAAGAAAAGAAGAGAAAAAUGUCGUGUCCAGUCUUUCUGAAGAUUGUUUUUGGUGGGGAUGACGAUGCAAGAAAGCUUACGCUUAAGACAGGAAUCCCAAAGUCUGUGGAUGACCUUGUCCUUGAACUAAUGACUGUUUUUGGGGUGAAGCAAAAGUUCAGGCUCCAGUACAAAGAUAAGAACUUUGGAAAUGAAUACAUGAAUCUCAACCAGUCAAAUUGAAGACAGGGAUACCCUGAAAGUGAUUUUUCUAUCAACUGAUGACUGUAACUACUGCAUGCAAGAGAGUGCACCUGAUGCACCUUCCUGCUCCAGCAUUCUUGUUCCUUCACCCAGUUCAACCUGUAGCUCUGACACUCUUGACACAAGAGAUGUUAGCGCUUGUGCCAUUGACUCAGUCCAGGAAGUCAACUUGUCUGAUCACUCGUUUUCCAGUAGCGAUGAGACUGUCAUAGUUACGUCUCCGGAGUCAAGAACCAGUCCUUGGCCUCAGGUUUUUGUAGUUCCUCGUUUUUCAUGUUCUGCUGAAAUUCAGCUUCAGAGAGCUGACACAGACUUCAACAAAAGUGGAACGCUCCUUAUUCCACCACCCAAACUAAGAUCUGACAUUCUUGAAGGCAUGGCUGAGGAGAUCUUUAGGUAUGCAGCAUACCCCACUGAUAGUCAGCUUGAUUAGGCAGCUGAAGCCUUGAUAAAUGCCCACCUUGCUUGAGGGAAAAAGGAACUCGCACUAGCCAUGAAGGAUGGAAACACUACCUAAAGAUUAAGAUGGCUAAUUUUCGCUCUAAACUCAGCAAGAGUGAGUAGAUCUGAGGAGAUCUUUAGGUAUGCAGCAUACCCCACUGCAGUGAGUAGGACACGUUUUGCUGGCCUAAAUUGCUGAUUACCAGAAAAAAAGAACAGAUACAAUAGAAUUAAUGAAUGACAUCAAAAAAAGUCUAAAAUUUAAAAGCAGAAUUGUAAGGUGAGCAUAUGCAUUCUCUUUAAUUGAUCAAUUUGGAUAAGCAGUAAAAAAGCCACAGCUCUAUCCAUUAAUACCAGCACAGUUUGUAUGGUGAGAAGACAUUUUAAUGUAAUUGGGCAUUGGCUAAUUAUAAGUGUCAUGGUUACGCCGACUUUGACGCAGGACUACGAUUCCCGUCAGCCGCUGCACCUCACCAGUUCACAUCACGUGAAUGUUUGCACCUGAUUCACAUUUUGGUUUAAUGAGCACUUGUAUUUAAGUCACGUCUUGCACAGCACACAUUGUCUAGCCUUUAUCUUUUGUCCUUGAUUGUUUGUCAUGUUUCGGUCUAUAGUCCAUGUAUGUCUUUUGUCUUGAAACCAUAGUUCAUGUUUUGGUGUCUAUGUUUGCGCUGUCUGUAUUGUUUAUUUUUCAUUAAAAUAAA